rnacentral:ncRNA from 1 species
UAAUGAACGGAGAUAAGGAGUAGUAAUUUGCGAAAUAUCGUUCAGAGAGUUGACGGCUGGUGUGAGUCAACCGAUUUUUGCUGAUGAACUCGCCUUUGAGUUACAAAUGUGAAAGCCUUAUUUGGGAAAGUAAUAUUUGUCGUCUAUCCACGUUACGGAUGUCAAAGUGGGCAUAUCGCUAUGCCAAAGUUGGGUGGUACCACGGGAAUUAAACCUCUCGUCCCUGUU